rnacentral:rRNA from 1 species
AGAAUCAACGCUGGCGGCGUGCCUAACACAUGCAAGUCGCACGAGAAAGGGACUUCGGUCCUGAGUACAGUGGCGCACGGGUGAGUAACACGUGAAUAAUCUACCUCCGAGUGGGGAAUAACUGAGAGAAAUCUUAGCUAAUACCGCAUAAUACCCACGGGUCAAAGCAGCAAUGCGCUUGGAGAGGAGUUCGCGGCCGAUUAGCUAGUUGGCGGGGUAAUGGCCCACCAAGUCGAUGAUCGGUA